AGCGAACGCUGGCGGCAGGCCUAAAACAUGCAAGUCGAACGCCGUAGCAAUACGGAGUGGCAGACGGGUGAGUAACACGUGGGAACGUGCCUUUUGGUUCGGAACAACACAGGGAAACUUGUGCUAAUACCGGAUAAGCCCUUACGGGGAAAGAUUUAUCGCCAAAAGAUCGGCCCGCGUCUGAUUAGCUAGUUGGUGAGGUAACGGCUCACCAAGGCUACGAUCAGUAGCUGGUCUGAGAGGAUGAUCAGCCACACUGGGACUGAGACACGGCCCAGACUCCUACGGGAGGCAGCAGUUAGGAAUCUUGGGACAAUGGGCGCAAGCCUGAUCCAGCCAUGCCGCGUGAGUGAUGAAGGCCUUAGGGUUGUAAAGCUCUUUCAGCGGGGAAGAUAAUGACGGUACCGCAGAAGAAGCCCCGGCUAACUUCGUGCCAGCAGCCGCCGUAG
rnacentral:rRNA from 1 species